ACAUGGCCACCCACACGUCCCUUGUUGACUGGGAGUUAGCUUGCUAAAUGAUGUUAAAUAAGACAGAUGGCAUAAAAUGAUUCGAUCGGGUUUUUAUCAAUCCCAGAUCACAAAUAUGUAUUGUACACACAAAGCGUUUGAAAAACUAGUUCAGUAGCUAACGAUAUUUAACGUGUAACGUUAGAUGGGUAACCAACCCUCGAGCUAGCUAUGCUAGCUUGAGAACAAACAUAAACAUUCCUGUAAGGCUAGCUAGCUACGAAAUUUAAAGAUUAAUUUAUUUUGGGAAGAUGUUGGGUUUUCUAACAGCAAGACAGGCUGGACUUGACGACCCACUUCGUCUGAGACGGGCAGAGUCAACACGGAGGGUCCUCAAUUUAGAGCUGAAUCAUGACAGAGAUGUGGAUCGAAUCCAUAACAACGGCAUAAACACCAUAGACAUUGAAGUCAUUGAGGGCAGAUACAUGCUAUCUGGAGGGGCAGAUGGGGUGAUUGUGGUGUAUGACCUGGAGAACAACAGCAGGAAACCCCAAUACACCUGUAAAGCAGUCUGCACUGUAGGCAGGUCCAGUCAGUAUGUCCACAGGUUCAGUGUAGAGACAGUGCAGUGGUACCCACACGACACAGGCAUGUUUGUCUCCAGCUCCUUUGACAAAACCAUGAAGGUCUGGGACACUGAGACACUAAAGCCCGCUGAAGUGUUCCAGUUUGAAGGAAACGUCUACUGUCACCACAUGUCCCCCAUUGCCAGGAAACACAGCCUCAUCGCAGUUGGUACCAAAGACCAGAAAGUACAGCUCUGUGACCUGAAGUCUGGCUCACGCAUCCAGGUUUUGCAGGGUCACAGAGGUGAGGUCCUAUCUGUUCGGUGGUCGCCAAGAUAUGAGCACAUUUUAGCUACAGCCAGUACUGACAGCAGGGUGUUGGUGUGGGAUGUGCGUCGGGCCUCAGGGAGCCUGUUCUCUCUGGACCAACACAACGGGGACAAGUCCAAGGCCUCAUCAGAGGCAGUGAACACAGCCCAUAAUGGAAGGGUAAAUGGCCUCUGCUUCACGGUCGACGGCCUCUACCUUCUCACCACGGGAACAGACGACCGCAUGAGGCUGUGGAACAGUGCCAAUGGAAAAAACACACUGGUGAAUUAUGGGAAGGUGAGUAACGAAAGCCGUAAGGGGUUAAAGAUCACGGUGUCUCGUAGCUGCAGCCCGGAGUUUGUGUUUGUACCUUGUGGCAGCUCGGUGGCGGUGUACACUCUACACACCGGGGAACUUGUAACCAUGCUGAGGGGACACUACAACAACGUGGACUGCUGCCAGUUCCACCCCGACUACCAGGUGACUGUCUCUGUCUGCCCGUCUGUCUGUAGGAGCUGUACAGCGGGGGUAAAGACUGUAACAUCCUAGCCUGGGUUCCUGUUGUACGACCACCAGACGUGGAAGAAGAAGGGACAGCCGCCAAGGGUGGGAGCCAGGCUACGGUGAAUCCUGCUUUUGAAGACGCAUGGAGCAGUGAUGAGGACUGAUGCAUAAACACAACUGUACAGCCCUACUCCAUCGGACAUAGCUUUAGGAAUCUCAUCAUGGUGCUAGCUUCAGGAAUCUCAACAUUUAAAAAAACUACAAAUGCAGUUUAACAACUACUAUGGAGUUGGAGAAUGAACCUUAACAGACUUUGAAUCUCUGUUGUGAUAUCUGAUUUAUCUUUUAUUUUAUAUACAAAAUGGAAAUCUACACUGAGUGUACGAAACAUUAGGAACACCUUCCUAAUAUUCAGUUGCAUCCCCUUUUGCCCUCAGAUCAGCCUCAAUUUGUCGG